GACGAACGCUGGCGGCGUGCUUAACACAUGCAAGUCGAACGGAAAGGCCCUGCUUGCAGGGUACUCGAGUGGCGAACGGGUGAGUAACACGUGGGUGAUCUGCCCUGCACUUCGGGAUAAGCCUGGGAAACUGGGUCUAAUACCGGAUAGGAGCCAUUUUUAGUGUGAUGGUUGGAAAGUUUUUUCGGUGUAGGAUGAGCUCGCGGCCUAUCAGCUUGUUGGUGUGGUAAUGGCCUACCAAGGCGGCGACGGGUAGCCGGCCUGAGAGGGUGGACGGCCAAAUUGGGAAUGAGAUACGGCCCAGACUCCUACGGGAGGCAGCAGGGGGGAAUAUUGCACAAUGGGCGCAAGCCUGAUGCAGCGACGCCGCGUGGGGGAUGACGGCCUUAGGGUUGUAAACUCCUUUCGCUAGGGACGAAGCUUUUUGUGACGGUACCUAGAUAAGAAGCACCGGCUAACUACGUG
rnacentral:rRNA from 1 species